UCACAAAGAAACGUUGAUUGUGACGUGUCACGUUCUGAUUGGACAUGAAAAGGUGCGCCCAAGAGCCAGCUCUAACAUUUUUCUGUUUAUCGUUCAAUCAGAACGAGACACAUGAUAGUCAAUGUUU
rfam:Glycine soja cultivar W05 scaffold434_73, whole genome shotgun sequence.